GCCAGGCACAGUGGUGCUCGCCUGUAAUCCCAGCAGCUCAGGAGGCUGGGGCAGGAGGUUUGCAAGUUCAAGGCCAGCCUCAGCAACUUAGUGAGGCCCUAUGCAACUCAGUGAGAUCCUGUCUCUA
rnacentral:sRNA from 1 species